GUCUGAAUUUGUAAUUUACUGUUAGCUCUGACAUGGGAUUUCAAUAUGACUCAGUAGUUUUUACUAUAUUGUUUAAUCCAAGGGAUGUCUAAGAACAUCGACAAACUUGCCAAGGAAAAGGAUUGGCAGGUGGUAAAAAGUGGCAACAGAGUAUUAGGAACCAUCUCUACUGGACUGCAUCAUCAUCCAAGACAGGCCCAGAGAAGGUGGCAAAGUGGACAUCUGUCAUCAAUCACAUCCACAACAUACACACACAUGAAGACCCCCUUUUUCCAAAGUGUGAGCACAGUGAUGUCAUAGAUAAGAGGAGGUGGUUGAAGCCAGGAUCAAAGGCUUCCUACAGACUGGAGAAGGUCCUUACAAACAAGAGGUUCAUCAAGGGUGUGGAGAAGCUAAGCCCUCACCACCAAACAUCCUCUCUUGAGGCCUUCCACAGCGUUGUCAUCCGCUUUGCACCAAAGAGUGUGGUGUACCCAUUCAUUGGGAUGCUUUGCAGACUCUAUCUCUCAGCAUUCCACUUCAAUGAGAAUGCCAACCGGCCACAGUCAACAAGUGCUCUGGGAGAUCCUGCCUUUAAACUGGCCUUCCCUAAAGCCAAGAAAGGGGGAUACAGCCUCAAACGACGGAAAACUGAGCCGACAUUCUGUAAGUAAAUUAUCACAACAAC